rnacentral:lncRNA from 7 species
GAACCCCAUGAAAUAAUUAGCUGGUGGAUGCUUUGAACUUUCAGGGUGUUUUGUGGAUAUGGCGAAAUAGUUUGUAUUCCCUUACGAACCAAUAAUGUUGGUUAUCUCUUAGAAUGUGGUUGUAUCUUUGUUGGGUAAACAGUGUGCAAGCUGCCUGUUUUGGUUGCCUGCUACCCGAACUAACAAUGCACAUUAGACUCGAAUACUAGUGAGGUUUUUGGUUUGAGGAAUAAGCUACUCCAUCUUCUCGUUUCUCACUUUUUGUUUGGUUUGUAAAAUGGAAUAAGUUGAUCCAUCACCACCUCAUUCCUCAUAGUUAGUUAGUUAGUUACUAACAUGAGAAAUGAGGUCGUCCCACCAAAUUUGAGGAAUGAACUCAUGAUGCACCACCUCAUCUUUGAUGGAGUGAUUCCUCAAACUAAACACCCCUAGAUGGUUGGCUUGAAUCCAUGCCAUACUUAAUAUUCUUUUAGUUUCCUUGCGACCAUAUGUUUAUUUGCACAUGCUUAAUAUGCGAUCGUAGCAAAUUUGCGCAUAGCAUAUGACAAUAUUUUCUGCAGAUGCUUUUCUGACUUUGUGAAAUCUUGUGCCCAGGGAUAAGCUUCUUGCGAUACACCUAUGGGAGAUUUUUUUUGUAUCGCGAGAAAGGAUCAUAAAUCACACCUAUGGAAGACGAAGACCUGUGAAUUGCACCAAUGCUUUCACCAUUCUGUCUCAUAUCAGGGUAUCUAGUCCUAGUAGUUUCCUUUGGGUAUUGUGGGAGAGAACCAUGCCAGUGUGUACCACUCAUCCUUUGAUGUGAGAGGGGACUUUGUAUGUAAAGAGGCCAGGACUUUAACUGUUGGUAUUGGUUAAGUUAGGAAAUAUGGAUAACUUAUUUCAUCGUUGUCU